UGCAGAUUUAUUUUUUAAUUUUGCAUUUCUUUGAGUCACAGAAUCCAAAAGUAGUUUUGUGGAUGCAAACACAUAAUUAAGGCAAACAGCAGCAAAGGGGACAUGAGGGGUGGAGCCCCCUCUCCACCACUGUUCACCAGCAUUUCUGUGACCCAAGGGGACGUGAGGGAUGGAGCCCGCUCUCCUCCUGUGUGCACCAGCACUGCUGUGACCAUUGGUGUCAUUCUUCUUUAAUGGAGGGUCCUGUGCUUGGCUUCAAAGGCCUCCUCCAGCUGGGCCACCUCAGGCAAUUUCCUGCCUGGUUUUAACUCAUCAUGUGUGUGUAUAUCAUGCGUGUAUGUGCCAUGUUGUAUAUGCAGGGCAUGUAUGUAUAUGCCACGUGUGUACUCGCCAGGUGCAUUUACGUCGUGUGCAGAUGCCGCAUGUGUAUACACCACGUGUGUAUACAUGUGUGUUCAUCGUAUAUAUGCAUCAUAUACAUUUAAACUAAAGCCCCUGCAGGCAUGUGCUGGUCCACCCCUGCCUUGAGUGCCUGCACACAUCCAAGUUCAGGGCUAGUUCUGGGCAGAACUGGGGUCUCGGGGGCUUACCCCUGUCAGGGCUCCAGGGCUGGGGAGCCUUUCCCAUCCUGAGUUUUAAUUCAGUGCAGGAGGUCCUGGAGGUCUUGUGUGCAGGCUGGCCACCUCCUGAGCAUUGAGUCUUCAGUGGGUGACGUUUACUGAGGUUCCCAGGGUGGGACUGCGCAGCCACCAUUGGUGAACACAGAGCAGGACCUGCCCUGAAGGAACCGCAGGGGAUGGGGCUGUGUCCGUGCCAGCCUUGCAGCUCUCUUCCUCUUCUGUCCUCAGAGGCCUCGCAGGGCAGUGGACGGCCAGGGCAGUGUGAGGAGAUGGGGACACAUGUCAGCAGGGGCCGUUGGGUGGAGGAAGCCGGCAGGAUGCAGGCGUCCCUCCAUCUCAGCUGCCCGUUGUGUAGAACUGGCCCAAGCCUGGGGCCUUCUCUCUGUUUAGCCUCUGUCCCCAGCAGAGCUUCUCAGGCCUGUGGUUCCACUUGUCCACUGAAGGGGCUCCAUCAAGCCUGGAGGUCCCCAGGGAGGAGAGGGUGGCCUAGCUCCGGCCACCAGGCCUGCCUCAGAAGGGAGAGCCCUGCUUUAUCUAUUUUGUUUGUUGGCAUUUCUGGGCAAGAUUUUUUUUGAAGAAAGAAAUCUGAGUCUGAGGGUAAAAAAAAAAGUUUGGAAACCUCUACUUUAGGUUUUCGAUGAUGGCUGUGUACUUACUGUGCUGAAGUAAAUGCUGCUUUGCUCCAUUGUCGUUCAGCUCGGCAUCGUCAAUCGUCGCUCUGUUCUCGUGACAGCUGCUGGCCUCGCAGGCAGGAUGUCCAUACGGAGGGUCGCCUGCUGCAGCGGGAGCCGGCCGACCACACACUCGGGCUGUGCAUUCAACAUCGCCUCCGUCAACUGUG
rnacentral:lncRNA from 1 species